rnacentral:misc_RNA from 1 species
UGGUUCUGGCAUCGAUGAAGAACGCAGCGAAAUGCGAUAAGUAAUGUGAAUUGCAGAAUUCAGUGAACCAUCGAAUCUUUGAACGCACAUUGCGCCCCCUGGUACUCCGGGGGGCAUGCCUGUUCGAGCGUCAUUGCACCGCUCAAGCCUAGCUUGGUGUUGGGCGCGGGGGCCGUCUCGCCCCCCGCCUUAAAGUGAUCGGCUGGGCCGCCCGACCCCCGGCGUUGUGACAAGCAAUUGUUCGCCGGAGGAGACGCUGGCCCGCGCCGUAAAGACCCCCCUUCAGGUUGACCUCGGAUCAGGUAGGGAUACCCGCUGA